rnacentral:rRNA from 1 species
UACGUAGGGGGCAAGCGUUGUCCGGAAUCAUUGGGCGUAAAGCGCGUGUAGGCGGCUCGGUAAGUCCGCUGUGAAAGUCGGGGGCUCAACCCUCGAAUGCCGGUGGAUACUGUCGGGCUAGAGUGCGGAAGAGGCGAGUGGAAUUCCUGGUGUAGCGGUGAAAUGCGCAGAUAUCAGGAGGAAUACCAAUUGCGAAGGCAGCUCGCUGGGACGUGACUGACGCUGAGAAGCGAAAGCAUGGGGAGCGAACAGG